rnacentral:rRNA from 1 species
GGCAGCAUGCUUACACAUGCAGUCCCACGGAUGGGGGAACCCCAUUAGUGGCGGACGGGUGAGUAACGCGUAGGUAUCUAUCCUUGGGUAGGGGAUAACUGUGGGAAACUACAGCUAAUACCGCAUGAUCCCUGAGGGGCAAAGGCGCAAGUCGCCUGAGGAGGAGCCUGCGUCCGAUUAGCUAGUUGGUGGGGUAAAGGCCUACCAAGGCUGCGAUCGGUAGCUGGUCUGAUAGGAUGAUCAGCCACACUGGGACUGAGACACGGCCCAGACUCCUACGGGAGGCAGCAGUGGGGAAUAUUGGACUAUGGGCGCAAGCCUGAUCCAGCAAUGCCGCGUGGGUGAAGAAGGUCUUCGGAUUGUAAAGCCCUUUCGGCGGGGACGAUGAUGACGGUACCCGCAGAAGAAGCCCCGGCUAACUUCGUGCCAUCAGCCGCGGUAAU